CUUUUGAAGUCUGUUGGUGUUGUUGAUGCCUGUGCAGACACUGUAUUUGAAGUGCUUUUAAACCUUGAGCGCCAGCGGAGAUAUGAGUGGGACCCAUUCACUAGUGAUCUGGAGUUGGUAGAAUCUUAUGAUGGACACUAUGAUGUUGUUUGUGGGACAUAUGAUCCAAAA